GUCCACGCCGUCGCCUGACCGUUCGAGGGUUUGAUCGCCAGCGCAGCCUCGCCCUGCCCAGACAGCUGGGCCCUAAGGGGAUAGCCAGCGCCUUUAGACUUAUCUUAAAUCGGGCAUCGGCAUCAACACUUAUUUCUGGGGUCCUCCAUGGAAAGCAGCUCCCGAAACAACACCCGCCCGGUCCGCCCUCCGCUGCACUGGAAAACCGCCCCUGGACGUUUCUGCCGCAGUGUCCCCCUCACGGAGUUCCGUUUGUCUGCUUGGUCGGUUGUUCUCUGGAGCCCCAGGACCCAGGCCGCUUGUAUGUGCCUGCGGCCGCACGGCCCCAACACGCGGACUUCGAGCGGUACCGGGAGACCCGCGCGGCCUCCUCGGAGUGGACAGUGAAGCAGCAGCUGGGCUAGGCAGUGGGGCUGGGCCUGCCCAUGGGGACCCGUCCACGUCUCCAGGACAUCAGCCUGAGCCUCUUCGCAGCCUCGUUUUCUGUUGACCGAGUUCUGCAAGGGGACGUAGAGGAACCACAGCGUUCUUGCGCUUGAGACCGCUGUGAUUUUCUGACAUUUUGGAGGCAGAAAUGCCUGGGGAAAGGCCCACAGAUGCAACUGUCAUCCCUAGUGCCAAAAGGGAACGGAAAGCGAUUACCCUUGACCUCAAAUUGGAAGUGUUACGACGAUUUGAAGCGGGUGAGAAGCUCAGUCAGAUCGCAAAGGCCUUAGAUCUUGCUAUCUCUACAGUGGCGACCAUUCGAGAUAGUAAAGAAAAAAUCAAAGCGAGUUCACAAAUAGCUACUCCUCUGAGAGCCUCUCGGUUGACUCGCCAUCGAAGUGCAGUGAUGGAGAGCAUGGAGCAGCUGCUGAGCUUGUGGCUGGAAGACCAGAGCCAGCCAAAUGCGACCUUGAGCGCCGCCAUCGUUCAGGAGAAGGCUGAGUUUGAUGACUUACAGCGUGAACAUGGCGAAGGUUCUCAAACGGAGAGGUUUCAUGCAAGUCAAGGGUGGCUUGUGAGAUUCAAGGAGUGCCACUGUUUGCCCCACUUCAAGAUGAACAGCGCAGCUCCCAGCAACAAGGACAUGUACACAGAAAUGCUGAAAAGCAUCAUCGAAGAAGGUGAGUACACCCCCCAGGUGUCUUUAACGUAGAUGAGACGAGACUUGAUUGGAAGAGAAUGCCCAAAGGAACGUUUAUUUCCGAGGAAGAGAAUGCUGAGCCAGGGUUUAAGUCAUCCAAAGAUCGCUUGAUGCUGCUGCUUGGUGGCAGUGCAGCUGGGGACUUUAAGUUGAAGCCCUUACUGGUGUACCGCUCAGAAACCCGCAAGGCUCUGAAGGGUUCUUGAAGCCCAGUUUGCCCGUGAUUUGGCGCUCCAACAGAAAGGCUUGGGUGACCAGGAGCAUCUUUCAUGAAUGGUUCACUUACUUUUUUUGCCGUUGAAAAAUACAGUGCCCAAAAUAAUCUCACCAACAAAGCACUGCUCAUACUAGACAGUGCGUCAUGCCACUCUGUAAAUUUGAGCGACCUUUCUGAUAACUAAGAGUAGAAUACCUUCAGGCCAGGCGCGGUGGCUCACGCCUGUAAUCCCAGCACUUUGGGAGGCCGAGACGGGCGGAUCACCUGAGGUCAGGAGUUCGAGACCAGCCUCAACAUGGAGAAACCCCGUCUCUAUUAAAAAUACAAAUUUAGCCGGGCGUGGUGGUGCAGGCCUGUAAUCCCAGCUACUCGGGAGGCUAAAGCAGGAGAAUUGCUUGAACCUGGGAGGCGGAGGUUGUGGUGAGCCGAGAUCGCGCCAUUGCACUCCAUCCUGGACAACAGGAGUGAAACUCCGUCUCAAAAAAAAAAAAGAAAAAAAAGAAGUACAAGAGUAUAAUACCUUCAUGACAGUACAGCUGACUCAAUCCGGACCACGUGUCAAGGUGUAAUCUCGACCUUGAAAGCUCAUUAUCUGAGAAGGACUUUUCAGCACAUCCUAGAAGCAGCGGAUGGUGAGGACACAGCUAUGAUCAGGGAAUUUUGGAGAAACUACAGCAUCAUGGAUGCUGUGGACAUGGCCAUCGCAUGGGAGGAGCUCAAACCAGCACUAAUGAACAGCAUGUGGAAGAAGAUUUGGCCUGAGUGUGUUCAGGCCCAGCGUUUUUCCCAGGCAGAUAACAUUGCACAGCUUCAAAAAAACAUUGUGACCCUUGCCAGAAAUGUGGCCUUUGAAGAGGUUGCUGAGGCUGCUGUGGACCAGUUGCUGCAGUCCCAUGAAGAAGAUCUCUCAAAUGAGGAACUGAUGCGGCUGGAACAGGAGCUGGCAGUGGGGGAGGAGGAGAGGGAAGAUGGUCCCUGGGCACUGUGGCAGCUAACCACAGGAAGACUGUCGGCAGCCCUCUCACAUUUUGAGGCUGGCUUGUAGGUCCUUGCUAGUAACAGCCCUAAUGAUGACUGGAAACUGAGAGGUUCCAGAGAAAUCAGUGUUGCAGUAAACUGCUAGCAGGAGCUGUACAAUGAGAAAAAGCGCCACUCAAAACAACUCUCUUAGGUCAUUUUUCAAUGUGUGUAACCAAAAGUUAAUCAGAAUAAAGCGGAAGCACCAUGAUGACCUCAACAGUGGAGGCCCAGCCAGGCCUCCCUGCUCUGUGGUGUUGGACAUCCCUGGAAACCUUGCUGUUGGUAUUUCCAUUUUGAUACUUGAGAGCAUCAAAUUUUGUCAUUAAAAUGUUAUUUAAAUAUAUGCUUUUAAAAGCUCA